rnacentral:rRNA from 1 species
GUGGUGGUUCCCGAGGUCCAAAUUUUGGUACUAUCGGGCGCCGCCAUCCUUGGGUGGAACCUGUGUGGCAUUAGGUUGUCGUGCAGGGGAUGCCCAUCUUUUACUGUGAAAAAAUUAGAGUGUUCAAAGCAGGCUUACGCCGUUGAAUAUAUUAGCAUGGAAUAACAUUAUACGACUUUGGAUCUAUUUUGUUGGUUUGCGCUCCGAAGUAAUGAUUAACAGGGACAGUUGGGGGUAUUCGUAUUCCAUUGUCAGAGGUGAAAUUCUUGGAUUUCUGGAAGACGAACUACUGCGAAAGCAUUUACCAAGGAUGUUUUCAUUAAUCAAGAACGAAAGUUAGGGGAUCGAAGAUGAUUAGAUACCAUCGUAGUCUUAACCAUAAACUAUGCCGACAAGGGAUUGGUGGGGUUUCGUUACGUCUCCAUCAGCACCUUAUGAGAAAUCACAAGUCUUUGGGUUCCGGGGGGAGUAUGG